rnacentral:tRNA from 1 species
GGUGACAUAGUGGUAGAGUGCUUGCCUUGCAUGCAUGAGGCCCUGGGUUCCAUUCCCCAGCACCA